UACGUAAGGGGCUAGCGUUGUUCGGAAUUACUGGGUGUAAAGGGUCCGUAGGCCGCUCCGUAAGUCCCGUGUGAAAUCCGACGGCUUAACCGUCGAACUGCGCGGGAUACUGCGGAGCUCGAGUACCGGAGAGGCCAGUAGAAUUCCCGGUGUAGCGGUGAAAUGCGUAGAGAUCGGGAGGAAUACCGAUGGCGAAGGCAGCUGGCUGGACGGUCACUGACGCUGAGGGACGAAGGCGUGGGGAGCAAACAGG
rnacentral:rRNA from 1 species